UAGCAUGGUCUUGAUAUUUAUUGAUUGCUCUGCUACUAAAAACUAGCCAUACCUGAGAACUGCUUUUUCACAGUGUACUUCGACGCUUCCAAAUGUUAAAAAAAGCAAAACCCACACUUUUAAUAAAUCACAAAUAACAAAACAAUCAAAACACACGAACAAAAAUAAAGGUUUAAACAAAACACUACUCAAACACUUUUAAACUCUUAAAAAAAACCACCUCAAAACACCCAAGCUUUGCUGUCCCAGUGCUCUCUUACUUUCUUUCUUUUUCCCUUUCCUUCUCUGUUCUGUUCUGUUCUGUUCCUCUCACAAACCUCUUCUCUUCCCUUUUCUACCAUGUGGCCAGAGGCUUGAUUGAUUCAAUCAAUCAUCCAUUCACCACCUGGCCACAUUCCACAAGUUUCCAUUCACUCUCAAUCAAACAAUUAAUCAUUCAAUCUAACAACCAUGUGGCUGUGUGAAUGGUGGCCAUCUUGGUUACCGGCUGUCCCUUCAGCAAGAUGGCCGCCAGCCACCAAACUCUCUCUCACAGACACACACCCGUGCACCCCCAUGUGCAGAGCCUAUGCACUGUCACAGGGCCAUAUGGAAAGUAAGGGUUGAAUGUCCUAUGCCACACACUGAGCUUCUUUCUCAGCAUAUUUUCUGUUUUCACUUUUGCUGUAAGUGACUUGAGCAAGUUUACUGUGAUUUUCUUCAUGCUUUCUAUUCACCACAUCACAGUGGUUUCAUGAUUUGGAAAGAUGGCAUAGUUCCACUAUCUCCAUAUAAACGUGAAGAUAACUUUGUUCUGUCCUUCUGUAGAUUACUUUCCCUGUGCUAAUUCUCCAAUAAAAUGUUGUUUUUAAAAUACAUGGGCUAAAAGCUGAAGAAAAUGAUCUGAUCUGCUGAAAACAUACACAUCAUAAAAUACUUUUGAUGUAAAAUACUGUAAUACCCUUAAUCUUAACUCACUGGCAACUCAUUGAAGGGGGAUUUCAAUGAGCUUUUCCGCUUAAGAAAAAUGUUGAGGGGAAUUAGAAGGUAAUGCAAUUUACAAAUGCUUAUUUUUUUAAAUUCUGAACCCCAGAUAAUCAGCUUUUUAAAAUUUGUAUUAAUGUUUAGUACUGUGUCUCUGUAUUAUUAAAUAUCCACUACGGAGUCCAAACAAUUCAGAGGGUGAAAAGUAAAGGUUUAAUUUGGGCUAAAAUCCAGAUAUUUAUGUCACAUUGCAUUUUUAAUAUGCCCAAGAGUAGGCUCAUCUUUAGACACAAUUCAAACUUGUCCCAUAGCCUUCACAGAUCAUUAAGCACUAUUUUCAAUAUCUCAGUUAUACCUGGCAUUACAGUGUCAGAUGAGCCCGCUACCGCAGUUCACACAUCCAUGGGUCAAGGGGCUAAGCUAGAUGCCAGGACCUUUAUUGAUCCACUCUGCUGAAUUACUCAGAAGCACUAUGGGCUGAUGUAUGUACACACAUUAUACUGAUCCCCACACCUCCAGCUGGAUUUGUCUGUAGAUAACGCAAGUCUAUUCUCCCACAGGUGUACAAUAUGAGCGAUGAAGGAGUCUGAACUGUUUCGAUUUGCCGUUAAUUUCCCUGGAGGCCAUUGAAGCAGCACUCUAUCCCUGGACCUACUUUUCAUCUGUCAUUGAGAGAACAGAGAACCUCUUGAGAGGCAAAAAGGGUUUUAAGCCACUUAGGGAAGGUUAAGGCGGCCCCGGGAUGCUCCGAAGGAUGAGACUGUGCUCCAACUAUUUUAUUCUACUUAUGUUUCUUCAACCAUUGUCUGGGUUCAGUGUUUUUGGAAAUCUGUACGAUUUUGUAUUAUAAUAAAGGUGGUUAUUUAAUGCAA